rnacentral:rRNA from 1 species
AAUCAACGCUGGCGGCGUGCCUCAGACAUGCAAGUCGAACGCGAAAGGCCCCUUCGGGGGCCGAGUAGAGUGGCGUCCGGGUGAGUAACACGUGGGUAAUCUACCUUCGGGUGGGGAAUAACGACCGGAAACGGUCGCUAAUACCGCAUAAUGCAGCGGCACCUAAUGGUGACAGUUGUUAAAGCGGGGGAUCGCAAGACCUCGCGCCUGAAGAGGAGCCCGCGGCGGAUUAGCUAGUGGCAGGGUAACGGCCUACCAAGGCGACGAUCCGUAGCCGGCCUGAGAGGGCGGUCGGCCACACUGGCACUGACACACGGGCCAGACUCCUACGGGAGGCAGCAGUCGGGAAUUUGGGCAAUGGGCGAAAGCCUGACCCAGCAACGCCGCGUGAA